rnacentral:rRNA from 1 species
UCGGCUAGGGGGUCAUCCCGACUUACCAAACCGAUGCAAACUCCGAAUACCUAUGAGUACUAUCCGGGAGACAGACUGCGGGUGCUAACGUCCGUAGUCAAGAGGAAAACAAUCCAGACCGCCAGCUAAGGCCCCAAAAUCAUAGUUAAGUGGGAAACGAUGUGGGAAGGCAUAGACAGCUAGGAGGUUGGCUUAGAAGCAGCCACCCUUUAAAGAAAGCGUAAUAGCUCACUAGUCGAGUCGGCCUGCGCGGAAGAUGUAACGGGGCUAAAA